GCGAGGACACGUUGCCAACCUGCCCUGGAGACGCAAACAACCCCGGGAAACUGGGACUAAUUUGUGAUGGGUCAUCUCUCCUGGAAUGGGUCAUGACUGAAAGGGUUGUGGAAGCAUGUUUUCACAAUUGCUCUAGGAUGGGGCAGCGUCCGAUCAGGUUGUUGGUGGGGUAAUGGCCCACCAAGCCUGUAACCGGUGCGGGCUUUGAGAGAAGGAGCCCGGAGAUGGACACUGAGACAAGGGUCCAGGCCCUACGGGGCGCAGCAGGCGCGAAAACUUCGCAAUGUGCGAAAGCGCGACGAGGUUAAUCCGAGUGCCGCCCGCUGAGGGCGGCUUUUCUUAGGUGUAAAUGGUCUGAGGAAUAAGGGGAGGGAAAGCCUGGUGUCAGCCGCCGCGGUAAUACCAGCUCCUCGAGUGGUCGGGACGUUUAUUGGGCCUAAAGCAUCCGUAGCCUGCUCUGUUGGUCCCAGGUAAAAUCCAAUCGCUCAACGAUUGGGCUGCAUGGGAUACCGCAGGGCUAGGAGGCGGGAGAGGCGGACGGUACUCCGCGGGUAGGGGUAAAAUCCACUGAUCCGCGGAAGACCACCAGUGGCGAACGCGGUCCGCCAGAACGCGCUCGACGGUGAGGGAUGAAAGCUGGGGGAGCGAACCGGAUUAGAUACCCGGGUAGUCCCAGCUGU
rnacentral:rRNA from 1 species